UUCCAGUUCUGCAAGCUCCAUCAAUGGCCAACCACAAAAAAAUCAAGCACUGGAAUUGUCAUACAAGACUUUAAAGCAGCCAUGUAAUCAUCUUCCACAAGGUAAAGGUGAAUGCCCUUGAAAUGAAUGGAAAAUCAGAAAUUCUCCACAGAUGAAAAAGGCCCAAAUAGAAACUUCAGAAUUGAAAAAUACAAAAACGUAAUUAACAUAAAACUGAGUGACAUGGUUUGGGUUUGUUCCCACCCAAAUCUCAACUAGAAUUGUAUCUCCCAGAAUUCCUACGUGUUGUGGGAGGGACCCAAUGGGAGGUAAUUGAAUCAUGGGGGCGGUCUUUCCCAUGCUAUUCUCGUGAUAGUGAAUAAGUCUCAAGAGAUCUCAUGGGUUUAUCAGGCGGUUCCGCUUUUGCUGCUUCUUCAUUUUCUCCUGCUGCCGCCAUGUAAGAAAUGCCUUUUGCCUCCCACCAUGAUUCUGAGGCCCCCCAAGCUGUGUGGAAAUGGUCUUGCUCUUGCCUGGGGCUGGAGUGCAGGGUGAAGUCACACCUCAUUGCAGCCUCAACCUCCCAGACUCAAGCAAUCCUCCCACCUCAGCAGGCAUAUAUAAAUGGAAUCAUCGAAAUUUAAAAUUUGCACUUCAAAGAACACCAUCAAGAAAGUGAAGACAACCCAGAGAAUGGGAGAAAAUAUUUGCAAUCAUAUAUCUGAUAAAGGACAUGUAUACAGAAUUUUGUAAAACUAUUACAACUGAAUAAUAAGAACAAAUAACACAAUGAAAAAAAUAGGCAAAGUAUUUGGUUAGAUAGUUCUCCAAAGAAGAUAUAUAAUGGCCAAUAAACACAUGAAAAGAUGCCGAACAUCAUUAGCCAUCAGGGAAAUGCAAAUCAAAACGACAGUAAGAUACCACUUCCCACCUACUAGCUUGACCGUAAUCCAGAAGACAGAUUACAAGUAUUGGAAAGGAUGUGAAGAAAUUACAACUUUCAUAACUUGCUGGCAGGAAUGUAAAAUGGUGCAACCAUUUUGGAAAACAGUCUGGCAGUUUCUUCAGUCAGUAAAACAUACCAUAUGACCCAGCAAUUCCACCCCUAGUUGUAUACUUAAGAGAAAUGAAAAUGUGUGCACCAAGAACUUGUAUAUGAAUGUUCAUAGCUGCAAAAUCCAUAACAGUCAUUAUGUGGAAACAACCUAAAUGUCUAUCAGCUGAUGUAUGAAUAAACAAAACAUGCUAUGUUCAUACAAUGGAAUAUUGUUUGGCCAUAGUAAGAAAUGGUACCAAUACAUGCUACAAUGUGAAUGAACCUUAAAAACAUGCUAAGUGAAAGAAGUCAGUCACAGAAAACCACAUAUAAUAUGAUUCUAUUGAUAUGAAAUAUCCAGAAUAGGCAAAUAUACAGAGAUAGAAAGAUUAGUGGUUGCCUAUGGGGAGGGGCUUGGGGAGUGGUAUCUAAAUGGUGCAGUUUCUUUUGGAGGUAGUGAAAGAGUUCUAAAAAAUGACUGGGAGGCCAGGUGCAUGGCUCAGGCCUGUAAUCCCAGCACUUUUGAAGGCUGAGGCAGGAGGAUUGCUCGAGCCAAGGAGAUCAAGAUCAGCCUAGGCAACAUAGCGAGACCCCAUCUCUAUAAAAAAAAUUAAUUAAAGGAAAAAGAUGAUCAGGGCAGUAAAUACACAAGUCUGUGAUUAUACUAAAACCAUUGAAAUGUAAACUUUUAAUGGGUAAAUUGCAUAGUAUUUGGAUUAUAUCUGAAUAAAGCUGUUUUUAGAAAAAUAC
rnacentral:lncRNA from 1 species